CAGUUUAGUUAAAACCUUUUUGGUGUUCUUGUGUGUGUUUCUGGUCAGCUUCCAUUAAAGGUCUCACUGCUGAAGUGGAUGUCCUCAAGAAUGAGUUACAAAAGGUCAUUCAGUACAGGAAAACCUACAAGAGAAGAAACCAAGGCGAGCAAUACCCAACGUUUUCCAAAGACCUGAAAAUGACAAUUGAGAAGUACAACACAGAUCUCUCCCUGCUGACAAAGAGGUGUGAGGAAAUGAAGAAACUCUACACUGACAUAUUGGUUAAAUUCGGAGAGCCAAUGGAUCAAGAUUCUCAGGAGCUGUUUGGAUUGGUGUGCCAGUUUGUCAACGACUUCAAGAGGACACAUGCUGAAAUCAGAUAACAAUAUUUGCUGUCCUUGAGAUACUAUCUAUGUAAAUUCAGCCAGUCUGAAUAGAAUUUAGUUAUAAUUUGUGUACCACACAAGCUGUGCUAUUUCAGUAGUAAAAAAACCCUGGCAUUCUACUGAGAAACAUAACUCACAGCUGUGACUAAUAUUGUGAUCAGGCGGCUAGACUUGAGUAUUGCAAUUUUAGUAGGAAAACAUUUUAGUGUAUAGUACUGCUGAAAUUAGAACAAGUCUACACUGAGUGUACAAAACAUGCUCUUACUAUGACAUAGACUUACCAGGUGAAUCCCAGGGGAAAGCUCUGUUCCCUUAUUGAUGUCACUUGUGAAAUCCAGAUGAAAGGGAGGAGACAGGUUAAAGAAGGAUUUUUCAACCUUGAGACAUGGAUUAUGUAUGUGUGCCAUUAAGAGGGUGAAUGGGCAAGACAAAAGAUUUAAGCGCCUUUUGAACGGGGUAUGGUAGUGGGUGCCAGGCGCACCUGUUUUUGUCAAGAACUGCAACGCUGCUGGGUUUUUCAUGCUCAACAGUUUCCCAUGUGUAUCAAGAAUGAUCCAUCACCCAAAGCACAUCUAGCCAACUUGACACAACUGUGGGAAGCGUUGGAGUCAACAUGGGUCAGCAUCCCUAUGGAACACUUUCAAUACCUUGUAGAGUCCAUUCCCAGACAAAUUGAGGCUGUUCUUAGGGCAAAAGGGGGUGUUUUGUACACUCAGUGUAUAACAGCUAUGUGGUUGGAGACCGUAGACUAACUGUUAGUUGGGAUUCAUUGUGACAAAUUGUCUGAAAUCGAUUGAAAUAAUUAAUUAAAUUAAACUUAUGAGACAGUUCGGGGAAUGCCAGCACUUGAUUUUUCACAGCUGUCUGUCUGCUGGCAAGGGAACCUAAUCACAAAAAACACUCACACACUAGCCUUUUGAAAACAGUCCAUUUGAUUAUCUAAUUUUUCUUGUGUUGGUUGGAGACACAGAGAUUUCAUAUUCCAGUACCUCAGGAAUGGCUCCAAGACCCUUCUCUGAUUCAAGACAACAUCUGGUGCUGUUUGCCAUUUAAAAUAUUUCCCCCUGUCCCUUUUCUCUUGUAAUUGGUAUUGCAGCAGCAAAAUGGGUGCUGUUAGCAACAGCUUGAAAAUACUUUAGAUUGAUUUUGAGAGAGAGAGAGAGAGAUUGUCUGUGUCUUGACAUUUUAAUUAGAGGACAGAAAAAAAGCAGCAUUGGUUAGUUAGUCUAACUGUGAACCAACAAUAUAAUGAUCCAGGACCCCAUGCUGGGGUGUUUAAUUCAUAAAGCCGUACAUGUAAAACAAAAAAUAUUAAAAUUCAAUCAACUAGUUAUAUAAAAAAUGCUGGUGAAUGAUUUCAGUUAGAAAAUGGAGAGAGAACAUUUCAUUAAAUGUGACCUUCACUCGCAAGAUGAUUACUUACUUUUUUUUAUGAUAUUACAUAUUUACCAAGACUGGGUUCUUUUGCCCUCGUUUCUGAAACAAAUUUGUUUCCCGAUUUGGUACAAUUUAAUUUAGAGAAAAAUGUAAUUAAUACUCCUGGACACAUCCUUAGUGACGUAACUUAGGGUCAUUGGUUGUUUUGCAUCAUCAGACACCCUCGCCCAGGCGACCCAGCAGAGGUUGAUCAGACCUCCAAUUGUGUCCAGGUGGCAUUACUCUGCUCCCGAUAGAUUUCCUCAUGAUCCAGAGCCAUCUUGAGGCUCUAUCAGCUGCCUUGACGGUGUUGCUGAUUGUUCUCCUGGUGAGAGGGAUGGUCCAGCUAAACUUACCUUGAUAGGCAUGCACCUAGCCUUCCAACCCUCCCUACCUCAUGCAGUCGAUGAGCAGUCCCUCAUACUUGGCCCUCUUCCUCUCGCACGCCUCCUCCAGAAGAUCUCCCAAGGGAUUGGAAGCUCCAGAAUGAUAAUGGUCUUUGGGGAAUCCGAGAGCAGGGUGAUGUCUGGGCUCAGAGUUGUCUUGACAAUGUGCUACGGGAACUUGAGCUACUUUUAAAAUGGAUCACUCUCUUCAGACAGUUAGUCACAUGGCCAUGGUUUACUACAGUGUAUAAAGCAGGCAGAUAGGCAUCGAGGUAUUCAGUUACUGUUCGACUGAAUGUUAGAAUGUGACUCACCACCUGGAUUCGGUCUUAUGUAGCAAAAUGUGAAAGUGUUGUUUACAUUGGAUAAAAGUAGAGACGCAGAGCUACAAAAUGGCAUAUCAUACACUGCAUUUGAGGAACAAUGGGAAAAUAAUUCUGCUUUGAAAGUUGAUCAGCUUGUAAACUCACUUUUGAGAAAAUUGCCUUUGAAUGUUUUGGUAUCUAGUGAAGAGCUUUUCUUCCAUUCAACAAUGUUCACACCCUCUUAAGCUUUAGCCCCACCCAUCUUAUUUCACUCUCGGAGUGCACACUUGACGCUCUGGCCGAUGAUUUGUUUACCUCUAUAUAACAUGAAAACAGCCUAACCAGCUCUGCUGGAAACAACUUCAUUACGCUUUUUUGCAGAUGUUUACUGACACCGGCCAUAUUCAACGGGUGUUGUACACACAUCACGUAACGUUAGCUAACGAGCCAGCCAGCUAAUGUUAGCUAGUUAAACAACAAUGAACAAUGUGCCAACAAUGCCACAGUGCUGGGAGCUAACCAACAAUGCUCAAUGUUAUCUAGCUAAAAUUAGUCUCUAAAUAGAAAAGCCAACAGCUCUGGGAAACAAAUAAUAAUGUCCGCUAGGGAGCCAGCCAGCUAACUUGAGCCUGCUAGCUAACAGUACACUUCAGCUUAAGACAUAUAGCUAGUUCGCUAGGUAAACAAUGAAUCUAGCUAUGUAAACAAUGUUUAAGAUCACACACGUCACGUAACGUUAGCUAACGAGCCAGCCUGCUAGCUAGUUAGCUAACAGUACACUUUAGCUUGAAAUGAAACACUUUCUGUCAAAAUUAGAAAUAUCUGGAAAUGUAGCUAGCUAACACUAGACUAUCUUACCUGUAUACAUCAUCAUGCAUGAUGGAUGCGUCUCCCUGUCAGGAAUGCCAUACCAUGGUUGCCCUUAGUUUGAAGAUGUAAUCUGGAGACAGGUGUUUACUCCAUCUCUUUAGCUAUCAUACUCUAAUUCCACUGAUUUCAAAAAUUGGAGAGCAACACUUACGCAGCUCCACUACACAAUACAUAAAAAAAGCCACAUUUGGGGCCUCCCGGGGGGCGCAGUGGUCUAGGGCACUGCAUCGCAGUGCUAGCUGCACCACCAGAGUCUCUGGGUUCGCGCCCAGGCUCUGUCGCAGCCGGCCGCGACCGGGAGGUCCGUGGGGCGACGCACAAUUGGGCUAGCGUCGUCCGGGUUAGGGAGGGUUUGGCCGGUAGGGAUAUCCUUGUCUCAUCGUGCUCCAGCGACUCCUGUGGCGGGCCGGGCGCAGUGCGCGCUAACCAAGGGGGCCAGGUGCACGGUGUUUCCUCCGACACAUUGGUGCGGCUGGCUUCCGGGUUGGAGGCGCGCUGUGUUAAAGAAGCAGUGCGGCUUGGUUGGGUUGUGCUUCGGAGGACGCAUGGCUUUCGACCUUCGUCUCUCCCGAGCCCGUACGGGAGUUGUAGCGAUGAGACAAGAUAGUAAUUACUAGCGAUUGGAUACCACAAAAAUUGGGGAGAAAAGGGGCAAAAAAAAAAGAAAAAAAAAAAAAAGAAGCCGCAUUUGACAGAAUUACCAACACAGACUGACAAGCUCAAAUAGACAGAAGCCUUCAACAUGGCAGACCAAUCCGAACUCCUCUCUCGGCAUGUCCAGCCCACUCAUUAUCUCAGCCAAUCAUGGCUAGUGGGGAGAUUGCUCACUUUUUCUGUGGCUUAACUAACAAGGCUCGUAAUUUAACAUGUUUGUAUUUACA